ensembl:rRNA 5S_rRNA 5S ribosomal RNA
AUAUACAGCCAUACCACCCUGAAUGCGCCGAUCUCAUCUGAUCUGGGAAGCUAAGCAGGGUCAGGCCUGGUAAGUAGUUGGUUGGAAGAAAAUCUGUUCUCUGUAGAAU